UGUACACGCUGUGACUAGCAUAUCAAUAAGCGGAGGAAAAGAAACUAACAAGGAUUCCCUUAGUAACGGCGAGUGAAGCGGGAAGAGCUCAAAUUUGAAAUCUUCAAGGUUUUACCUUGACGAAUUGUAGUUUAAAGAAGUGUUUUCUGCUGAAGUUUUGGUAAAAGUUCUUUGGAAUAGGACAUCAUAGAGGGUGAGAAUCCCGUAUUUGACCAUUAUCUUCAGCUUUGUGAUACACUUUCAAAGAGUCGGAUUGUUUGGGAAUGCAGUCCAAAAUGGGUGGUAAAUUUCAUCUAAAGCUAAAUAUUGGCGAGAGACCGAUAGCGAACAAGUACCGUGAGGGAAAGAUGAAAAGAACUUUGAAAAGAGAGUUAAACAGUACGUGAAAUUGUCAAAAGGGAAGCGUUUGACACCAGUGUUGUUUUCUCGAAAAUCAAUUAAAAAUGGCUCGAUUUUGUAUUGCUGAGACCUUAAAAGCUCACCGUACAUUUUUCGUGUCUUUUUUAAUGCACUUUUCGUUUAACAAGUCAACAUCAGUUUCUUUUGUUGUAAAAAGGUCAUUGGAAGGUGGCUUUCUUUUCGGAGAAAGUGUUUAUAGCCUUUGACUCCUGCAAUCGGAGAGACUGAGGUCUGCAGCGUAGAUCCUUCGGGGUUAGAUACAUUUGUGCUAAGUUAUAGCUUUUUAUAGACAACUUGUUGACUAUAAUUAGUCUUGUAGCUUACUCGCUUAUGCUAUUUUACCUACGCUUAGGAUGUUGAACUACUGAGACAUAGA
rnacentral:rRNA from 1 species